UUCAACCCUCAUCAUCCCCACACUACCACCACCUUCGCUGAGUAAUUUGUUUUCUUCUCCACUUUCAAAAUUAUAGGCACCUACACUACACCCCAACCCUCUACUUUCUCUCUCAUCAUCUUUCAAAUUUCUCUCUCUAUCCAUUGCCCUCUCCUAAAUCCAAGAAUCAAUCUUCCCUUCCAAUUUUCAUAAAAAAAUGCAACCAUGUCCAUGAAUUUUCCCUUGAUCCUUCUUUCCCUCUCCCUCCUCGCAUCAAUUUCCCAUUCCUCCAACACUCUCACGGAUUCGGUGGCGGCGGAGAAGACGCGGCUGGGCUCGACGCCGCCGAGCUGCCACAACAAAUGCAACCAGUGCCACCCGUGCAUGGCGGUGCAGGUGCCGACGCUGCCGAGCCACAGCCGCGUGGGGCCCGCCGAUUACUCCUCCGCCGGAAACAGGUACUCCAAUUACAAGCCGCUCGGCUGGAAAUGCAGAUGCGGCGGCCAUUUUUACAACCCUUAAUUACAAAUUCCAUCCUUUUUCCAAAAUUGAAAAAAAAAAGAGCAUACACUGAAAUUUCAUUUCUAGUCCUUUUUCCAUUUUAAUUAACAAUCAGAGUAGAUUUUUUUUUAAUAUUUUUUGGAUAGGUGAUGUUAGCGGUGACAAGACAUAUAUUUAAUGUAAGAUGUGGUUUUUUUAAUAUAUGUAAGCAUUUAAUUUAUUUA